rnacentral:lncRNA from 1 species
AGGGGGGGGGGUGAAUAGGCAACGACCAAUUUUUAAUUAAUAUUAGCAAGUUAGGGUAAACAACAUACGGGUUCACAAAUAUAACAACAAUGUGGUGAACCCUAAUGAAGCUAACAACGAGAGCUACUAAGACAAGUAAGAGAUAGACGACAACAUAAGCAUACACAAAGUAAAGGUUAGAGAUAACCACAAGUGGAACCGAUGGAGACGAGGAUGUGUUACCGAAGUUCCUUCCCUUUGAUAGGAAGUACGUCUCCGUUGGAGCGGUGUGGAGGCACAAUGCUCCCCAAUAAGCC